AAGUCGUAACAAGGUUUCCGUAGGUGAACCUGCGGAAGGAUCAUUACUAGAGCAAAGGAUAGACAGCGCCCGCGGAGCUCGCUCCCUGGGGCUACUCUACUUCGGUAGGGUUUAGAGUCGUCGGGCCUCUCGAAGAAGCUCGGUCCUGAACUCCACCCUUGAAUAAAUUACCUUUGUUGCUUUGGCGGGCCGCCUCGUGCCAGCGGCUUCGGCUGUUGCGUGCCCGCCAGAGGACCACAACUCUUGUUUUUAGUGAUGUCUGAGUACUAUAUAAUAGUUAAAACUUUCAACAACGGAUCUCUUGGUUCUG
rnacentral:misc_RNA from 1 species